rnacentral:misc_RNA from 1 species
GUGGUUUGCCGUGUAUUUAGAAAGAAGAACUAUCAAAAAGCCCUAGACAGUCCUAAAGGUUCAUCAAGCUCGAUGGAGUCAAAGACCCAUAUUCUCAGUUCUGGCAACGAUGGCGUUCUUGANNNNNNGGGAAGGACUUGCAAGAUGGAGAAUGAAACAUUUAGCCACGUGAAUCUCCCCAACAACGGCAACAAUAGCAGUAUUAGAUUUCUCUCAGCUAACAACACCGGCAUCAGUGAAGAGCUCCAUGAAAGAUUUAUGCAUCUUCCAAGGCUAGAUAGCCCAACUCUUCCGACUGUUACGAUCAACAGCCCCUCCUUCGAUCAAGAGAGCAAUUUCAAAUCUUGUUAUCAGUCGUAUGAUGAGAUGCUCAGAGAGAAUAACGAACCUUCCUCCACCACCAACAACCACCACCACCACCAAGGCAAUGGCUUUGAUAUGACCUCAAUUCACGAAAAAAACAAACCCGGGCUUAAUGACUGGGCUACAUUUGAUCGUCUGGUGGCAUCACAGCUGAAUGGUCAGGUAGAGACAUCCAAACAACUAUCCUGCUUUAGUGACCCAAAUGGGAGUUUUGGUCUGUCUCCUGAUGAUGACAUGCAUUUAUCACAGCUACAUGUGCACUCGAAUAGAUCAAAUCAAGCAAAUUCUCAGGUCUACAGUUGCGAGAAUGAUCUAUGGAGCUUCACCAAAUCAUCGUCCCCAUCAUCAUCGGACCCAUUAUGCCACUUGUCCGUAUAACAUAAGCG